UACGAAGGGGGCUAGCGUUGUUCGGAUUAACUGGGCGUAAAGGGUGCGUAGGCGGGUUUUUAAGUCAGGGGUGAAAUCCCGAGGCUCAACCUCGGAACUGCCUUUGAUACUGGAAAUCUUGAGUCUGGGAGAGGUGAGUGGAACUGCGAGUGUAGAGGUGAAAUUCGUAGAUAUUCGCAAGAACACCGGUGGCGAAGGCGGCUCACUGGCUCAUUACUGACGCUCAGGCGCGAUAGCGUGGGGAUCAAACAGG
rnacentral:rRNA from 1 species